GGCGUUCGCUUGCAUUUGCAAGAGGAAAGUCCGGACACCACAGAGCAGAGUUCCCUAUGAAAGUAGGGGCAUAUUUUGGUGACAAAAUAUGACGGAUAGUGUCACAGAAAAUAAACCGCCUUAGAUCGUCUUCGGACGUUAUAAGGUAAGGGUGAAAAGGUGAGGUAAGAGCUCCCCGCAUUAAAGGUAACAAUGAUGGCUUGAAAAACCCAGCUCGGUGCAAGACAAAAUAGGAAAUCGAGUGGCUCGCUCUACGAUUUCGGGUAUGUCGCAUAGAUAAAUGAACGCACAAUCAGUAUUAACUGAUGGACAGAAUCUGGCUUAUAG
rnacentral:RNase_P_RNA from 1 species